rnacentral:tRNA from 1 species
GUUAGGGUGGCAGAGCCCGGUAAUUGCAUA